rnacentral:ncRNA from 2 species
AAUGCAUGAGACCGGUGUUCGCUGUUGUUUCCUUUGUGAACGGCAGCGAUCUGAGAUAUACGGUCUGAACUUGAUCAGGUUAAAGCCUGCGAAAGGACUCAUGCUUUGCUCCCU